AACAACUUACCGAAAGGUGAGCUAAUGCCGGAUGAGUUAUAUAAGUGCAUGUUUAUAUAGGAAAAGUUGGGGAGACCUGACGCUGAAAGAUGGACUCGCGUCCCAUUAGCUAGUUGGUAGGGUAAUGGCCUACCAAGGCGACGAUGGGUAGCCGGCCUGAGAGGGUGGCCGGCCACACUGGGACUGAGACACGGCCCAGACUCCUACGGGAGGCAGCAGUGGGGAAUUUUGCGCAAUGCUCGUAAGAGUGACGCAGCGACGCCGCGUGAAUGACGAAGGCCUUCGGGUCGUAAAGUUCUUUCGACAGGGAAGAAAAUGCCUAUAAGUAACUGUGUAUGUAUUGACGGUACCUGUAUAAGCAGCCCCGGCUAACUCCGUGCCAGCAGCCGCGGUAAUACGGAGGGGGCGAGCGUUGUUCGGAGUGACUGGGCGUAAAGAGCACGUAGGCGGUGUUGUAAGUCAUUAGUCAAAGACUAGAGCUCAACUUUAGUAAGGCUAGUGAUACUAUAAUACUAGAGUAUCAGAGAGGAUUGCAGAAUUCCUGGUGUAGCGGUGAAAUGCGUAGAUAUCAGGAGGAAUACCGUUAGCGAAGGCGGCAAUCUGGCUGGAAACUGACGCUGAGGUGCGAAAGCGUGGGUAGCAACAGGAUUAGAU
rnacentral:rRNA from 1 species